CCUACGGGAGGCAGCAGUGGGGAAUUGUUCGCAAUGGGCGCAAGCCUGACGACGCAACGCCGCGUGGAGGAUGAAGAUUUUCGGAUCGUAAACUCCUGUCGAAUGGGACGAAUGGCUCGACCGUGAAUAACGGUUGGGAAUGACGGUACCGUGAGAGGAAGCCCCGGCUAACUCCGUGCCAGCAGCCGCGGUAAUACGGGGGGGGCAAGCGUUGUUCGGAAUUACUGGGCGUAAAGGGCUCGUAGGUGGCCACCUAAGUCCGACGUGAAAUCCCUCGGCUCAACCGGGGAACUGCGUCUGAUACUGGGUGGCUUGAAUCCGGGAGAGGGAUGUGGAAUUCCAGGUGUAGCGGUGAAAUGCGUAGAUAUCUGGAGGAACACCGGUGGCGAAGGCGGCUCACUGGCCCGGUACUGACGCUCAGGCACGAAAGCGUGGGGAGCAAACAGGAUUAGAUACCCUGGUAGUCCACGCCCUAAACGAUGUCAACUGGGUGUUGGGGAAGCGAUUCCUUGGUACCGUAGCUAACGCGUGAAGUUGACCGCCUGGGGAGUACGGCCGCAAGGUUAAAACUCAAAUGAAUUGACGG
rnacentral:rRNA from 1 species